rnacentral:rRNA from 1 species
GACGUAGGGUCCGAGCGUUGUCCGGAGUACUGGGCGUAAAGGGCGCGUAGGCGGCUUCUGUGCGUCACCCGUGAAAGCCCCCGGCUCAACCGGGGAGGGUCGGGUGAAACGGCGGAGCUGGAGGCAGCGAGAGGCUGGUGGGAAUUCCCGGAGUAGUGGUGAAAUGCGUAGAGAUCGGGAGGAACACCGGUGGCGAAGGCGGCGAUCUGGGGUAGCAGUACUGAACGCUGAGGUGCGAA